UUAAAAUAUGUGCACUUGCUGUAAAUAUGGACAGAAACCAAUAUGUGGGCUUUAGGUGGGUAUCUAGUGAGCAUGGGAUGCCCAUAAAGAACCUACAUACAUUU